rnacentral:rRNA from 1 species
CCUACGGGAGGCUGCAGUGGGGAAUAUUGCGCAAUGGGCGAAAGCCUGACGCAGCGACGCCGCGUGAGGGAUGAAGGUCUUCGGAUCGUAAACCUCUGUCAGCAGGGAAGAACGGUCACUGUGCUAAUCAGCAGUGAAUUGACGGUACCUGCAAAGGAAGCACCGGCUAACUCCGUGCCAGCAGCCGCGGUAAUACGGAGGGUGCGAGCGUUGAUCGGAAUUACUGGGCGUAAAGCGCUCGUAGGCGGUAUGUCAAGUCAAGGGGGAAAUCCCCGCGCUCAACGUGGGAACUGCCUUUGAAACUGGCAAACUGGAGUGUGUGAGAGGAUAGUGGAAUUCCAGGUGGAGGAGUGAAAGUCGUAGAUAUCUGGAGGAACAUCAGUGGCGAAGGCGACUAUCUGGCACAUAACUGACGCUGAGGAGCGAAAGCGUGGGUAGCAAACAGGAUUAGAUACCCUUGUAGUC